CUCGGUGGCUCCCCCGCCCCCGUGCCUCCUGCAGCGCCCUAGCGCGCCCUCCAUCAGCGGCGCCCCCGGCCAGCACGACCUCCCUCGGCGGCGUCCAGCCCGCGAUCCACCGUUGAGCCAGGUAGCACUUCUUUUUCUACUUUUGUUACCAAGUCACAAAACAAUUCUUCAGACCAAUCUGGUCAGGGACAUUGGAAAACUCAAAGAUGGAAAGAUGUUCGUGAAGUUUGUUCUGUGCUUCGGGUUUUAGCAUUACCUGGUUUGAACAGUGGACUUACAUCUUUGGAACAACUUGGAAAUGUCACCCGGAUUGAUUCUUCUCUUAAAAGUCUGGAAUCAUUUGCUUCCAGCUCUCUUACUGGGUAAUAGAAAAAAAUUCUUGCCACAUUUGUGUGUUUACCUUGGUUCUUAAAGUUCAUCCAGAAACACCUUAACAAAUGAACACAGACUGACUGGUACUAAUUAUUUGCAGAUUUCUUAUGCUUAAUGUUGGCACUGCCCUAACUACUUUGAGAAUAUUCAGUUGGACAGAUAGUGAAGCAAUGACUAAAGUAAUACCCUUUUGUGGUCCAUUGAUUCACCUUGCUGUUUCAACAAACGGGGCUGAGCUGAGACAGUUUGUUAGAAAGGAUCUAUUUUCCUCUAUAACAUAGGGCUUAUCUGUUGAGUUGAAUGCCGUUGUUAGUGCAGAGCUUCUUGGACUUUGUCGCGAAAUAUAUCUUAAUCUAUCAGACAAAGAUCCUGCACCCAAUCAGGUAUUUCUUUUCUGAGAUCAUGACAAAGUAUAUCUGUAUUUGCAAAUUCUGUACUUUGUGGUUAUAUCAACACACUAAAUAUUGUGCCAAAAAAACAUUGUGAAUCUGAUGUCCCAGACUGUUGUCAGUACCACUCAAACUCACUGCAUUGAUCCUUUUUCCUUUUUCACUUUGGCUUUGGUGGCUUUGGUCAUGCACAGUUCAGAAAGUAAAACAGGAACACAAGGUCAUCAGUGAACUAUUUUUACACAGUAAGAUAUGCAUAUUAUUUGCAGUGAAAAAAUGUUGAACUAUUUAGAUCAUGGACAAUGAGUUUGGCUUCAUCACCAAAUGUGACCAAAAAGUUUUAGGCUGACAAGUAUCACUAGAACUGGUAAGUAUCACCAAAGGCUUACUUCAGCAGCACGUGACAUGUUCCGCUCAACAGCUACUAUCUCAGUUGUCUUCCUCAACUCUGUUAUCCCUCCGACACGGCCGAUGUCUCUACCAUGCUGAGCCACUCCACCACGACAUUCAUCGCCUCUCACCUCCAACAGUAGCCUCCCUAUGUUGCAGCUAUGGCUUCUGCUCCUCAAUUUUGCUUCUUCAUGCGUUCUUAUGUAACGGAAAUUAUGAACAUUUUUUCCUCAUUACGAACACUUUUUUCCUCAUUAUGAACACUUGUGAAUUUGGCAUGAAUGAGUGAUUCGAUGCAGCAAAAGCAAACCCCAAUUAGCCUUAUAUGGAAAGUAGAUGGAUUUGAAAAAUUAAUGCUAAGGAAUGAUUUGGCCUUUGCAUGUCUGAAUCAGCGAACUUACUGGUCAAACUGGAAUCAAACAGUGCUUAGUACCAAAUUAAGCCAGUCGUGAAAGUUAUGUCGUUCGUUGUAAGCCAACAGGUGCAGUUUUGUUUGAAUCGAAUUUAUGAUUUGCGAGAUACAACCACAAUACUAAAGCUGACCUCGAGUUUCGAAUUAGAGCAAAUAACUAUUUAGCCCCUUUUCAGCAAUUUGGAGAUAGAGUUGCAGUAUGCUUGUAAUAUGGAAGUUGUAAAAAAAAUUGAAAGAGAGCUAUGGCAUCCUUUGCUAUGAUAGAUGGCUUGUUGUAUUUAAAUAUGCUAUAGAGGAUUACACGAAAAAUAUUUUGCUUAAUUUCUCUAUUUUGCUUGUGUUCUUCUGUUAUUUUGGUCUUCGGAUCACGUUUUUGUAAGUUGAGUCACCUUCUUUGCCGUCUACAAAAAUAAAAUGCAUGUUUGAAAAGAGACCCAUAAAUUGUUUUAUGUAAGGAACAUCAACAAAAACCUUAUUUUUGUAAUUUAUUCUCCACAAGUUUGUUCUGAAUCAUUUGUACAUAACUGAACUCUGCAUGCAUUAAGAUUGUACCAUGACUGAAUUAGUUAUGGCACAAGUAAUUAAUAAGCAUAGAGUUCAGUUAUGUACAAUAUGGAAGUUGUAAAAAAAAUUGUAAGAGAGCUAUGGUAUCCUUUGCUAUGAUAGAUGUCUUGCUUUAUUUAAAUGUGCUAUAGAGGAUUACACGGAAAAUACUUUGCUUAAUUUCUCUAUUUUGCUUGUGUUCUUACUGUUAUUUUGGUUUUCGGAUCAUGAUUUGUAAGUUGAGUCGCCUUCUUUGCCAUCUACUAAUACGAAAUGCAUGUUUGAAAAGAGACCCAUAGAUUUUUUUUAUGUAAGAAACAUCAACCAAAACCUUAAUACAUGCAGGGGAGCCAUCUUCAUUGGUUGCAAGUAGAUAUAAGAAGACAAUGUUAAAUUUAUGGGCAAACUCAAUCCGUCUUGACAAGGUGCCAAGGUCGUUGAGCUGACCGAUCAACUCUCAAAUCAGUGGGAUGACCAGCUGGUGAGGCAAACUUUUAUCCCGGAAGACACUCAUGUGAUCCUUCGCAUCCCAAUCUGCGAACACUAUGAGGAUUUGAUAGAUGGCAACCUGACAGCAAGGGCAUGUUUUUGGUGACGUUAUCCUAAAGAGUUCACCUUGAUCUGCUACAGAACCAGAAGACCAAGCCACCGGGAGAGUGCUCAUCGUGUAACAUGGGGCAAGACAAUUUAUGUCGUGAUCUCUGGAAAGUGUACUGCCUGCCAAAGAUCCAUCAUUUUUUGUGGCGUUUUGCACACAAUAUUCACCACCUUCCGAGAGAUGUUGAAAGGAUUGGGGUGGUGCUUAACACAGAUUGUGUGCUAUGUCAUAGGCUUCCUGAGGAUGGUGCACACUUGUUUCUAUGCUAUAAGGAAGUCGGGAAAAUGUGGAGAGCUUGCAACUUGGAACAUGUCUGUAGCCAACUGUUGGACUGCCAAACCCCGAAGGAGGUUCUUCUAGCCCUGUUGAAAAUGUCAAAUGAAGUGAAGACGUGAGCUAUUGCUCUUCUAUCGUCCUGGUGGAGUGAGAGAAAGAAAGUGAAUCACAACCAAAAGCACAUGUCUGAGAUGGAAUUUUAAUUUAACAUCGCUAGGUGUGCUCAAUGGAAAGAGUUCCUCGAGGCUAAACCUCCUGGUGUGCAGAAACAUGUUUCUUCCUGGUUGAAACCCCCCACUGAUUUUAUCAAACUAAACGUGGAUGCAGCGUUCCGAGAUGAAUCAAAGGAGGGUGGGUGGGGCCUGAUUGCUAGGGAUGCUGACGGAGAUUGUGCUACUGUCGGACGUCUAACAGCUCAGUCCAGCGCUUUGCAAGCUGAGGCUACAACCCUUCUGCAGGCAAUCCAAUUUGAUGAAAUACAAGGUGUGGGGCGUGCGAUUUUUGAAACCGAUUCCAUGGGUCUGCAACAGUAAGUUACCUCUACAUCACCAGACCGGUCUCCGUUGGGGGUACUCUUCCGUCAAGCCGAAUAUCUACUCCAGUUAGGUUUCACAGAGGCCAAAGUCAUGUACUGUCCGAGAGCUUGUAAUAAACCAACACAUGUGUUGGCGAACCUUGGUAGCCGGAGUGCAUUGGGAGCCAGGUCUUCUGGCCUCCAGACCUCCCGCUGGAUGUAACCUGGGUUGUGACCGCCAAUUGUGUUUGUCCAUCGUAAGUUUGGAAUGCAAGGUGUUCCAGUUAAAAAAAGAAGAUACUACCAUACUUGUGGAGAGGAGAAAUUGAUCAACUAUUUAAUAGUCAUUCGUAGGAUUGAGCAAGUGUUGCAUAAAUUCAAUUUUUUGAUUGCAUGUGCUCAGGACUAACCUGCUCACCAUGUGUAAAUUCAUCUUGAAAAUCAGCUUGUUCAAAAAGCUUGGUGAUCUUGGCCAGACAAAUUCUUCACUUGGUUGUUGGAUCACAAUGGUGACUCACUUUCAAAAAUGCAAUUUGAGUGACAUGCUAUUUUGUAUCUAUUUCAUUUCUAUUUUUCUGCAAAAGUUAUUUUAAAUUUGUAACAUGUAAACUAACUUCAUCAACAUUUUAGACGUGCAUUGCACGUGCAAGCUUA
rnacentral:lncRNA from 1 species